rnacentral:rRNA from 1 species
GCAACCCCAGGUACAGGC